rnacentral:tRNA from 1 species
GGAGGGUUGGCAGAGUGGUCUAACGCGCCGCACUCGAAAUGCGGUUGGGGAGAAAUCCCCUCACAGGUUCGAAUCCUGUACCCUCCGCCG